ensembl:snoRNA
GGUUGGUGAUGUCAUGGCAUGUGUGAGUUGAAUCCAAAGUUGAGGUCAGUACUACAAUGCUACUAAAAUCUU